UAAGGAAAUAUUUUGAGCUAUGUUGAGUACGGUGUGUUGAUUUGUUGUCUCCAUAAUUAUUACAUUUUCAUAGUUUCUAGAAUAUGCAACAGGUGUAAUAUUAGGAGGAGAUAAGUACUUUCUCUUUAAUGUAGGUCAUUACACUUCACAAAGUGGAUGUCCAAAGAUUUGUCUGUUUUUCAGAAGCAAGUUACUAAAAGAAGGAGGACAGAACUUUGUUUAUACCAGCCACUUAUUCUGAGAGGCCCCAGCUGUUCAGUUGACUUUUGUUUGGAUUUGGAACUACCAGGAAGAUCACUCAAAAAUAAGCACGAAGUCAUGAGCCAUGCUUUGCUUUUCUUCAGUACCAUGGAAUAUGCAGCUGAGCUGUUUUACUUCACCUGGAAUGCUGCACGAGAAUGAUCAUCAGACUCCGCCUCCUGGUGUUACAGGAUCUGUUGAGUCAUAUGAGUGGCAGAAAGUCAGGUAAGAAGAAGAUGAAGAAGAUCAUGCAGUGUAAGGAAUAUUGAUGGUGCACCAAAGAGGCUAUUUGUGCUAAAAAAAAAGGAGCCUGGGAUUGAAGGCCAUGGAAGAAGAAUGACUCCUUCCUGAGGAGGAAGGAUGCAGACCGAAAAGAAACCUUGUCAAAGACUGACUGAAGCUAUCGUAAAAGCUUCUACAGCCCUCAAAUGUGCUUGAGACAACUUCUAAUGGCAGUCCAAACAAGAGAUUCUUUUUCCUCAGCUAAGCCAAAGUUUGAAGCAAAAUGAAACUAAGCAAGUUUAAGAAAAGAGAGAUCUCAAAAGCUGUUUGGUAAAUGGAUUUGUUUUCUCCAGGGUUCAUUUUGUUAGGCCAAAAAGUCAACGCCCUAUAGUAGUGUCAGAGUUCAAUUUACAUCUACUAAAAUCAGAGGUGAGAGACAGUUGGAGAGAAUGUUCCGAGCAAUCUAGGAAAUUUGGUGAUAACAUUGGAGGACUAUCAAAACACGAGCUCAAAAUAUGCAGUUUUUAAAAUUUUUGGUCUUGGCUUUUAGUUAAAAUGUUCUUAAUCAGCUGUCUGUCCCAAAUGAACUCCUAUGGACUUAGAGGAGGCUCUAAUCAUUUUUGAUCAUAUCUGGCUACCUCAUGCUGAAAUGAAAGAAAACAAAGACAACCUGAAGAAAAUUCCAACCCUCUGUACUGAAGAAGAACCCCAGACUGUAAUUAUCAAGUGUGGAAGAAAAAAAUGCUGCACAUUUUUCUUCCACGGGAAUUACCCAAAUAAUUUUUGGCUUUGAAAAGCCGAGAUUCAUGUUUAGUAGCAUCAUUUUCCUUUCUUUUACAGGAAUUGCCUCGGAUAUAAAAUGCAUGCCUGAGGAAAGAAAAAUCAAUCAAAUCAUAAUAACUUAUUCAAUAGUAUAGACUAGUGCUGCCAGUGAAAAUUGAUAAAGGAAUAAUCAGAGUGCAUUAGACCCCAUCCUUUCCUGAAUUAUAUGAAUGCAGUUCUCGAUGUAACACAGUUUUGAUACUGUAGGGUCUAUUUAAAAAGCAUGGGCCCAAAUCAUCUCCCAUAUUCAUUUUAUGCCAUGGUAAUUUCAUACAUUUUAAUGAGAUCACUUUGCUUUUACACCAGUGACAGAAACACAAGAUACAGCUUCUCUCUCUCUCUAUGUUUUAAUGGGGGAAAAAACUACAACUUGGAUAUACAGGAUAUAGUAAUUUUCAGAAACAGGGGGCUUUUCUUUUUUUGGAAGGAUCUACAAUGCCAUAAAGACAAAUAAUGGCCAUUAAGCAGUGCUCAUUUGUUUUGCUGUCAACAAAAUACUGACCUGAAAACCAAAAAAAUUAAACAAACAAAGCUUAAUCAAAAUGUGCAUUCUAUCCUGUGUUAAAUUAAAUUACCUUUUUAAAUAUAAGAGUAGGGAUCUGAGAGGGGAAAUUCCUCCUGAACCAUUUAUCCUUCUUUUUUUAAUUUUGUUGUCAUUUAUUUUUCUUUAGUCUUCAUUCAGUCUGCAUCCUGAAGAACAUCUCUCUGCUAAUAAGGUUACUCAUUCAGCCCUUUUCAACUCCUGUAAUUUGCCUGAAUUACGGAAGACAAAUUAAGCCAGCUCCAAACAAUAGUAACAGAUUGGUGCUACCAUCAUCAUUAAAUCACAGCAGAUGUGAAAGGAUGGUGGAGACUUGGUUGUAAAUGUAUCAAGUGCUUCUGAUGACAGUACUGCAUUUUAUCAGGGCAUUUUUAUGAUCUAUUACACAUUUACCCUUUUCUUGCCUUUCAAUCACAAGGCAGCACAUAAGGUAAAUUGGAUUCCUCUGUGUUAAUGUGUUUUUUUUGCUAAUUAACUGAUAUUAAGAUUAUAUUCUACAUUGUUUAGUGGUUACUCUUGCACCCAUUCCAGGUGCUGUCACAUCACCUGUUCAGGUGUUUCCUGAAACAGGAAAAUCACUGUUUUCAAGAGAUAUUAGAAUCCUGCACUGCUAUCUCAUCAACAACCUCAUGCAAUGGGCUCCAUGACAGAGACAAGGACCGAGCUCUGUUUGUCCUUCCCCCAAGCAGCAGCAAACCUCCGUGUCCCAAGCUAGGCCCAACAAAAAACCAUGAGGGAUCUGUGCUGUGGGGACCAUGAGGAACGUAGGACAAUGUGUUCUCAGCUGUGGAGAGGCAUGAACACAAAUUUGCAGUUCUUUGAGGUAUGCAUUAAUCACUUGGUUAACAGCAAGCCUGCUGCCUCCUCCAGCCAUAAUUUAAAAACAUGCAAGACGAUACUUGUUAAAAACAGCUUCCAGUGUUUGCCAUCAGAUGUGUGCCUGGAGCUGAGCAUGGAGGAGGGAUGGAUGCGUCAUCAAGGAUGAAUGUGUCACCUCAACACCUCAAGUGAGGAAGUCAGGGAGGAAAGGGAAAGAAGCUCCACAGUGACAGGUUAUUAUAGGUUCACAUAGGACCUCGUGCAAAUCGGGUUAAGGGCACAUUAGGAUAGAUAGACCUCAAGCCCCCAAGAGAAAAUGAAAUAUUUGUGCUCAUUUUCUCCUUAGUGCCUUCCUCUUUUGGGCUCUGCUCCAAGGCAUCCUCCUUUUACCAUAUUGGCAGGGCAGGUGCAACAGGGUUAGCACUGGGCCUGAGCACUGUUGAAGUCCAAAUGCUGACUAGGAGUGGGCCCACAAUAUGGUGUUUGUAUGAGCAACAUGCUAUAGGGUUGUCAUACAUAGUCCAUCUCUUUGGCUAUUUAUCAGUCCACCUCACUGUGGGUGGCUAACCUUGGAAAUGUCAGUGUUAUUCCCACAGGAUUCUGGGAUUUUUUUUAAUGCCAAUAACUUUCACUUGAUUUUAGCACUGCUGGCUUCCUGUGAUGUCUAGACUAAACAUCUCUGCUAGUUUACAUUUGAGAAAUGAAAUCAACUCGGAAAAAACAAGGCUCUGUUUCUAAGUGUGGAGCAUCAAUCAAACAAACCAAUGAAGGGGAAAAGAAGUGGAAAUGGAGUGUGACAUCUGGGGAAAAGCCUUCCUUUCAUCUCCAUGUUAGUUACAGGAGAACACAAUUCUUUCAUUAUUCUCUCGUAUAUAAAGUAAUUGUUUUAGGUAAGGGUAGUGGUUGGACGCCUACAUCUAGCAGUUAAUGCUGGGGAGCAAUGCUGUGAUCCUAACAUGGUACAAAUUACAUAAGACAGCUUAUUGAAAAACUUAAUUAAUAACUUGUGUUCAUACAGACCUAAUACUGCCUAUAAAUUGUCCAACAACUUUUAAUUGUGUCAGAAGGGCUGCAAGAUAAGUACAUGAUUUGAAUUGCAUGAGACCUCUCAUUGCAUGCCUCUUCCUAGUACAAUACUGUAUAUUCUUGCUAAUUUACCUGUAGUUGUAUCCAUUUACUGGAUUAAAUAUGAAAUACAUAAUUUUUACCACGUUAAUUAUCUCUUUAGUGUUACCCAUAUGUUAAUUGCAGUUCAGGAGAAAGAUAGCCCAACAGUCUUCCCAGCUUUGAUCUGCUGAAUGGAAUAUCUGAUUGGAUUAUGAUUGUAGAAUAAGUACAUGAAAAUAUCCUAGAUGGUAGUACACUUCAUAUGAUGACUUUUCCUGGCACCACGUGACAGCAGCUGUAAUGAAAACAAGACUUUUAUCAUAAACCAAAUGGACAGAGAAAGUAGUCUGAUCGUAGCUGACAUCUGAACUUUCAGUUAUGAAGUUCAGUGACCUACAAAGCACUUCUUUUGCUUUUAAUGUCGAAAAAGCGGAUCUUGCCCUGGAAUAAACGAUGUCUUUGUCAGUCUGAUAUUGUACAGGCUUGCAUAAAUAAAAAUAGUAUUUGCUACAUUGUCCUUGCCAAAUCCUUUACAAUCAAAUUAUCUAUCGGCAUAUAG